GCCAUACCACCCUGAAUGUGCCUGAUCUUGUCUGAUCUCAGAAGCUAAGCAGGGUCAGGUCUAGUUAAUACUUGGAUAGGAAAAUGACUGC
ensembl:rRNA 5S_rRNA 5S ribosomal RNA